rnacentral:rRNA from 1 species
AUCGCUGACGGCGCGCUAAUACAUGCAAGUCGAACGGUGUCUUCGGACAUAGUGGCGCACGGGUGCGUAACACGUAUGCAACCUACCUUACAUUGGGGGAUAGCCUUUCGAAAGGGAGAUUAAUACCGCAUAAGACAGUAGCUGGGCAUCCAGCAGCUGUUAAAGAUUUAUCGAUGUAAGCUGGGCAUGCGUCCAAUUAGCUAGUUGGUGAGGUAAUGGCUCACCAAGGCAAUGAUUGGUAGGGGAACUGAGAGGUCAAUCCCCCACACUGGCACUGAGAUACGGGCCAGACUCCUACGGGAGGCAGCAGUAGGGAAUAUUGGGCAAUGGACGCAAGUCUGACCCAGCCAUGCCGCGUGCAGGAUGAAGGCGUUAUGCGUUGUAAACUGCUUUUAUACAGGAAGAAACGACUCUUGCGAGAGGCAUUGACGGUACUGUAUGAAUAAGCACCGGCUAACUCCGUGCCAGCAGCCGCGGUAAUACGGAGGGUGCAAGCGUUGUCCGGAUUUAUUGGGUUUAAAGGGUGCGCAGGUGGUUUAUUAAGUCAGUGGUGAAAGACGGUCGCUCAACGAUUGCAGUGCC